UUUCGUGCAACCGUACAUGAUAGUUACGAGUAUUAUUAAUGUCAUCACGGGUAAAUGUAGCUUAAUCCCUAAAGAGAAUACUCGAUAAAACACGAUGAUUAUUAUUUAUCCACCGACAAAACUCCAUACGGUUAGCGUAAUCCUCUGAUUGUAGGUGCUGUACUAUCUGUACGUGAUAAGGAUAUAAGCGUUGUUUGUGGAGUGUGUUUAUCACCCCUUUUUUUUUGUGGAAUUCCCAAAUGAGUGGCAAUUCUCCGUGAGCUAGUAGUUGUAUCUUCUUCUACUAGAUACAGAAUAUUUUUUACUUCUACCAAACCUUGUCGAGUAGCGCGUUCAGAUGAUAUUAGCACUGGAUAUCUUUGGUGUGGAAAACAUUGACGAUAUUCUUCAGCAGCAGCUGUAGCGUCUUCAUUACAGAAACCACAAAAAAACACCAUAUUUGCAUAUUCUAAAUUUGAAUAAGUAUCUGGCAUUUUCCAACACUAACAAUCACACAAAUUCGAAAUUGAACGUUCAGUUACUGUUCACUGACAGUUCAUUAAAACGUCAGAAUUAUAUCAAAUGCCUUUGAGCCUCGAACAUGUCAUACUUUGAUAAUGUUAAAAUUCAGAUAUAAGUGGAAAACUAGAUGAACAUUUUUAAUUAUUCCAUAACUUGAAAACAAAUGAAAAUCGGAUAAGAACAUAUGAGUUUUUUUACGUUAUUUUCACGUGUGUAAUACACUCCUAGAGUUUGUGAGCUCCUUCCGACUCACCCUGUAUUGUUUAAGGAACGUACUAUUUAAGAGAUUUUUCCCCAGGUUUUUAAGGUCUAGAACUGCUUCAGAAUGGGUAAGUGCUUUGUUCCAGACUGUAAACAUUACAUUCCAAAGCAUCUAUGUAAGUUUUUUCGGUUCCCAAAAAACAAGACCGAGAGGAAUAGAUUUGUGUGAACUUGCAAAAGUAUGCGAUUGUCACUUUUUAAAUAAAGAAAAAAAGAACGGGCCAACUUUAUUUGAUUUCAAUAUGCAGAAGUUUAAUAUAAAAUCACCAGAAAAAAGGUAUGCACUUUUUUUAAGAAGCGAACUGUAAAAAACCUUGUGACUGAGCUACUACCAGGACCUUCAACUGAACCACUACCAGAUCCUUCAACUGAGACACUACCAGGACCUUCAACUGAGCCACUACCAGGCCAAGGCUAGAAUUCAUGUAGAAAGGGGCAUCAGGAGAAUAAAGUUUUAUAAUAUUUUACAGCAAGUUCCAUCAUAUUAUAUAUCACAAAUUUCAAUUAUCUUUUAACUGUGUGUAGCCCUCACAAACUUGCAAUAUCCCCCAAUUAAAGAAAUUGAGGAGUAUUAUUGGUAGGAUCUAUACUGUAGGUUAUUCCGUACUGAAUUGACUAUCCGUAGGAGUUGAACCAAAGUAUGAUAUAUUAUAAUUUUGAGUUUUAAAUAUUUUUUAUUGUAGCAAUAUUUUUCCUCAUUCGACUUUUUUUUGUAAAAAGUUUAGAAAUUUUUAUUUAAAAAAUGUGUAUUUAGAUUUUACUCAAUUUUGAAAUGACAAUUAUUCUUAAAAGUAAUAAUAUUACUGUUUUUCUAAUUUAAUCAAACCCUGUAAAUCCAACAACAAUUUUCAUAAAGUAAAUAAAUACAAUUUGAUUUCUUGUUAGUAGACUACAGUUUUUAUAAUCAUCAAAUAAAUUAUAAAGCCACAA